UACCGAUAAUGAAAAAAGUACAAUAUAGUUAAUAAUAGAAAUAUUAGGAAUGAAACCAUAUUAUUUGUUGUUCCCACAUGUCAACAAUUUUAUAGAUUUGGUUUAUUUCGUCUUCGGUAUUCAGUAUUCACUGAAUCCACUUUUACUCGAUUAUUAUUCUGCGAUCGCCAUCCGUGUGCCGUUCUUGUUGAUUUAAUUUACCUACUUGUUUGUCGUCAUUCAUCGGUUACUCAUCAAUUUUAUGUAUUUUAACGUUCAAUUUUAACUGUUAAUACAAUUUACAAGCAAUAUUGAUAUUUGUCUGCUAAUCAGAAAAUUAGCUUUUUACAUCUGGGUUUAUUGUAUAUCUUUAAUACU